rnacentral:rRNA from 1 species
GAGUUUGAUCAUGGCUCAGGACGAACGCUGACGGUGUGCUUUAGGCAUGCAAGUCGAACGAGAAAGCCCUUCGGGGUGAGUACAGUGGCGAACGGGUGAGUAACACGUGGGCAACCUGCCCCUCGCAGGGGGACAACCGGAGGAAACUCCGGCUAAUACCCCGUACGCUUGUUGGGUCGCRUGGUCCGGCAAGGAAAGGUAGCUUCGGCCAUCCGGCGAGGGAUGGGCCCGCGCUGCAUUAGCUAGUUGGUGGGGUAACGGCCCACCAAGGCGACGAUGCGUAGCUGGUCUGAGAGGAUGAUCAGCCACACUGGGACUGAGACACGGCCCAGACUCCUACGGGAGGCAGCAGCCAGGAUACUUGGGCAAUGGGCGCAAGCCUGACCCAGCAACACCGUGUGGGCGACGAAGGCUCUAGGGUCGUAAAGCCCUGUUGAUAGGGACGAAGGGCGAAGGGUUAAUAGCCCCUAGCUUGACGGUACCUUUCGAGGAAGCCCCGGCUAACUACGUGCCAGCAGCCGCGGUU